CGAAGCGGUCCGAGUCGGGCUUGCUGAAGCGGUCGAUGGCCGCCUGUCGCAAGUUUCCACGAACGCGACCGUCUAUCCGCUCGUACAAGUACCUUCUCUGUAUGAGGUAGUCUUCCAAGAUGUCCAAGCAGCGCACCAUUUGGGAGAAAAUGAGCACCUUGUGCCCGCCGGCUUUCAUCUUGGGCAGCAGUUUGUCGAUGAGGACCAGCUUCCCGGCAGACUGCACCAUGGCUUGCAAGUGGAAGUCCAAGGCAGCCGGGCUAUAAACCUCCCUGAAGUCCUCCAGGAUUUUCUCUUCUGCCCCUGAAAAGAACACAAAUAGCAUUAGCUGUAGGGCCCAGAUGAUGUGUAGAACUUCUUUUGUGGGAUUCAGUCUUACCUUUGAUGAGGUAGGGGUGGUUGCAGCACUUCCUCAAUUCCAUCAUAGUGUUCACCAGGUUGGGCAUGUUUGCCUGGCCCGCUCCCUUGGCCAGGAAGGAGAAGUUCUUCUCCAGGAUGGCACGAUAGUACUUCUUUUGAAUGUUGGUGAGCUCCACCUCGAUGAUGGUCUCCUCUUUGGGCGCCAGCUUCUUCUCCACAUCUUCCUUCAAGCGCCGCAGCAUCAUCGGCUUAAGGAUGCCCUGCAGCUUCUGGACCUGUUGACCACCCCCAAAGAAACAUGGCAAUGAUAUAUUUACAGACCAAAUUUGGACAGUAGUCCUGAUUAAACUGUCAACAUUUCACUUUAA